rnacentral:rRNA from 1 species
UACGGAGGAUGCAAGCGUUAUCCGGAAUGAUUGGGCGUAAAGCGUCCGCAGGUGGCUAUGUAAGUCUGCUGUUAAAGAGUGAGGCUCAACCUCAUAAAAGCAGUGGAAACUACAUGGCUAGAGUGCGUUCGGGGCAGAGGGAAUUCCUGGUGUAGCGGUGAAAUGCGUAGAUAUCAGGAAGAGCACCGGUGGCGAAAGCGCUCUGCUAGGCCGCAACUGACACUGAGGGACGAAAGCUAGGGGAGCGAAUGGG